AAUGACCAACUUUAGCUGGCUGAAGCCGGGCCAAAUCGUCAUAAUUCCUAUGAAAAGGAAUCUCAAUACAUUUGGUCCCCUUCAACCAGCUGUGGUUGGCAUAGCUC
rnacentral:pre_miRNA from 1 species